UCACGUCAGCUGUGCAGGACGAGCUUUCCUUUUACUCUGUUGGCGAAUAGCGCAGCAGGAGCAGCAGCAGCAGGAGGAGCAGGAGCAGGAGCAGCAGGAGCAGGAGCAGGAGCAGCAGCAGGAGCAGCAGCAGCAGCGUGUGUUUUUAGAUGUGUGUUCUCCCCCGCUACUAAGAUCAGACACUAAAAUGUACCUACUAAAGAAAAGGAAUGAGAUGGCGGAGAAAGGUUGCGACAUUCCAGGCAGAAGUCUUUUACCUCAGGAACCUAGCGAACACCAAUAGCGUUCCCCUCUGGAAAAUCCUGACCAUUCUUUAGACCAAACCGGUACUGCUUGAAGAGAACAAGUCUUUGAAAAAGGAUAGCCUAUCUUGCACCUUCAGCAGUUGCUUCAAUCUGUAAAAAGGAUACCAAGGCGCUUUCCAGUCCCCAAGCAGGGCAGGGACCUAGACCCACCAUCACCCAGGACGCCAGUACCAUCGCCUGGGACACCAGCACUAUCGGUCAGGGGCAGCCCUGAUGGAAGCCCUGCAUCUCCCCCGCAGCGGCCUGCAGACAGGGGUAACCCUGCCAUCAUCGACUAUCGUUGGCCAAAACAGCAGCGGUGCCCCCUGUUUAUUUACGGGACUUUGAGCAUCUCUUCAGGGAUGAGAGAGCUAAGGAGGCUGAGAGAAUGAGAACUAUCUGAGCUGCGGUAGCAACAGAUGGGGGUGUGGCCUCUGGACUGUGUAUGUGUGUGUGUGUUGUAUCAUUUAUUGGUUGUUUCCUGUCUGUGUUUUUAUCAGUUGUCUUCAGUGCUUUAUUUGAAUAAAUGUAUCCAAAUGUUUAUUAUACCGUCUGUGUCGUCUAAACGGGAUACUGAUAAUCAGGAUUUCUGCUUAAAUGGGAUACAACUCUGGGAGACAGUUCUUCCCAAUGCUAUUUAUGUAGUUUAAUUGGGACGUCACUUUAUCUAAUUGGGAUACAGUAUUUUCAAAUGAUGAACGGAGAUCGCUUUUCAGAGCAAGACAGGUUUGCGUAGCACAGUGCAGUGAGGCAUUGACCACGGAGCAUGUUGGUGUCCAGUCUGCUUCAGAGCCAGAUUGUCAUUGUCCGUGUUUGCUGUGACAGAAUUGAUGUUCUGUUCGAGCGUGUGGAAGCGACAUCGUGGGAGAAGUACAGUCGUGGACAAGUACAGCGCAGUUAGAAGCAGAAAGGAGGAAUUACAUCUUUAAAUUAAAUCUGGAGUUGCUUUAAUCAGAAAACAUUGCAGCUUAAAGCCUUACAGCUGUGUGUAUUUUUCUGAUAACAAGCUGAAACUCAGAGCAGCUGAUUCAAAUUCCGCAGCGUUCUGAGACACGGGGGAGGGGCGGAGCCCGCAGCACUAGCACAAACAAACAAAAGGCAGGCAGUCUUCCCAGCAACAGCGUGUGGAAGCGACAUCGUGGGAGAAAUACAGUCGUGGACAAGUACAGCGCAGUUAGAAGCAGUUUGAAAGCAGGUUGACAGCUUGUGGCAGGCUGGCUCGCAGUGGUGAGGUGUGAUGACGUCAUGGACCAGGAAGUACAGAAACCAAACAAUGGAUGGGCGGGUGAAGCUGAAUGCAACUGCAUUUAGCGUAUUUAAUAAAUAAACAAACAAAAGAUUUAAACAAAACAGAAAACAGAAACCAAAGGGCACGAGGGCCAAACAAAUAGACAGACAAACAAAUAAGUGUCGUGCUGGCUAAUCCAGCACGUUUUAGCAAUUGUAUUGUCUCCUUGCUCUCUCUCCUCUCUCCGCUCUCCGCUCUCCGUACUCUCCUCUGUACACUCAACCCCUGCAGAACGGACAGCUGCAGCUUCUUAUACUCUGGCCGAGGGGUUAACUAGUUGUUAAUUAUCUUAUUACCCCUCAGCCAGAGUCUGCACGCGUUUGGUAAGGAUGCAUAAAUAAUCAGUAGCUGAUCAGUCAUGCAUCCUCACGGGGUUUUUAAAUAUAAAAAGCAAUAACAAAAGACGCGGUGCUUUUAUCUGUGCCACAAACAAAAAUACAAAUAAUAAUACAUAGGGGCGGGACACUCCGCCCCACAGCUGCAGAAGCUAAACUAAACUUCCACAAAAAAAAAACAAAAAAAAAAACAUGGUCUUCAAGCCAGUAAUCUGUGACAACUGCAUGAUGUGGGAAAUCCGAGAAAACCCAACAGAGCUCAACCAAGUUUGAGUAAAGUGCUGCAUGAUCCAGGACUUGCUUCAAUGAUUAAGCCUGCUAGAAAAGGAGCUGGAGGAAUGAGACAGCAACAGGAACUUGAGUAGCUGACACACCCACAAUUCAUGGAAGUCUGCACCCCUAGCAGACUGAAAGCCACCAGGGAGAUGGAAGAGAGUCGAAACAGCUGGGUUCAGAUAGGAAGAAGCAGGGAAAAAAAGAAACUUCGUCAAACACAACAACCAGAAAUCCAGACAUCCAACAAAUUUGAGCCACUUCAACAUUUAGAUGACCAAAACCAACAUCAAGAGAAUGAAAGAAACAACAUCCAGGACCCUAUAAACAGUGCUGACCAGGCAGCAAAAAGAAGGGAGGUCAUGAUUGUUGGGGACUCCAUAUUGAGAAACACAGCAAGUUCAGUUCACAGUUUGGACCCCCUUACUACAACAGUGUGCUGCCUUCCAGGAGCCUCUGUCAAGCACAUCACUGAGAAUGUGGAUAGGCUCCUAGAACGAACAGGAGACGACCCAGUAGUAGUCGUCCACAUCGGUACAAACAACAUUGGAAGAGACAGGCCAAGAUCCCUGCAAAACAAAUUCAGAGAUCUAGGAAGGAAAUUAAAAGACAAGACCAAAACUGUGGUAUUUUCUGGGAUACUGCCGGCACCUUGCAAAGGACCAUAUAGACAGCUGGAAAUACAAAAUCAAAAUGCAUGGCUAAAAUCGUUGUGCACACAGGAAGACUUCACCUUUCUUUAACAUUGGAGCACAUUCUACAACAAGGACUAUCUAUAUAGGUGGUUCGGACUGCAUGUAACAGAAAGGGAACCAAUCUGCUCGGAGAAAGGAUCCUUGAGGAGGCCCAGAAGCAUUUAAACUAGAAAGGAAGGGGGGAGAAAACAAAAAAAAACAGAAGGGAGACCACAUCAAAACAAGGUCAACAACUCAGGUAAGACAACUAUUAAAUGUAUUUAUCUUAAUGCUAGAAGUCUCAGAAACAAAAUGUUAGAACUUGAAGCUACUGCACUAACAAGUAACUACGAUGUGAUAGGUGUUACAGAAACUUGGUUAUCUGAGAGUGAUGGAGACGAAUAUAAUAUUAGUGGGUACACAUUGUAUAGGAAAGACAGGCAGGACAGAAGAGGUGGAGGGGUAGCACUAUACAUAAGAAAUAGUCUUGAAACCCAGAUGUUAAAUCAGGACAAAGAAAACAAUGCAGAAUCAAUAUGGGUCAGAAUAAUGGACAAAAAUUCAAAGGGCAUAAUAAUAGGAAUAGGAUAUGCUAUAGACCGCCAAAUUCAGAUGCUGAGCAAAAUAAUCUGUUAUACAAUCACAUUCGAAAUGCGUGUAGAAAAGGAGAAGCCAUACUAAUGGAGGAUUUCAACUUCCCCCGUAUAAAAUGGGAGAACCCGGUGGGGAGCACGACGGAUGAAAUUGAAAUGGUGGAAAUGACAAAUGACUGCUUCCUAACGCAAUUUGUCAAGGCACCGACUAGAGGGGAGGCAUGCCUUGAUUUAGUCUUUUCAAAUAAUGAAUUCUAAAAGAAUUUAAUCUAUUCAGUCUUGAACAAAGAAGACUAUGCGGUGAUCUGAUUCAAACAUUCAAAAUCCUAAAAGGUAUAGACAAUGUCGACCCAGGGGACUUCUUUGACCUGAAAAAAGAAACAAGGACCAGGGGUCACAAAUGGAGAUUAGAUAAAGGGGCAUUCAGAACAGAAAAUAGGAGGCACUUUUUUACACAGAGAAUUGUGAGGGUCUGGAACCAACUCCCCAGUAAUGUUGGUGAAGCUGACGCCCUGGGAUGCUUCAAGAAGCUGCUUGAUGAGAUUCUGGGAUCAAUAAGCUACUAACAACCAAACGAGCAAGAUGGGCUGAAUGGCCUCCUCUCGUUUGUAAACUUUCUUAUGUUCUUAUGUUUGGCAAAAUAUGCAGUAAUUCCAAACACUGCUUUGCUGUCCUGCGUCUUUGAGAUCCAUUUGCAAUGUGUAUUGGUGUAACAAGAAUAUCUUAGAAAAACAUGUGACUUAUAGUAACUGGAGUGCAGGCAGACAGCCUGGCGCUGUGAGCUGUCAAGGAUGAUUGAUGGGCUAUCAGGAGGCUCAUUGAAACAGUAGAAAUGUCAACAGACCGCUCACUUGAGGAAUGCAGACUGAUAUAAUCAAACUUCAAUACUUGGCUGCAAGUCCCAACUGAUAAAUACAAAUAAUAAUAAUAUGUUUUAUAUAUGACAGUAUUUUAUCUCGCAAAUUUUUUCAGCUACGCGAUUCUUUCUUUGUCAGGGUAAUUAGUACAUAUAUUUAGGAAAAGUCACAACUCCAUAUCUUAAACACACACCACAAUUUAAAUUUAAAUUCCAAAAACAGUCAAAAGGACUGCCUUGGUCGUUCUAGUGUUAACAUUUAAUCAUAAUGUGAUGUAAUUUCAUUAUUAUUCUUUUCGUUUAGAAACAAAAAAGUGUGACUAAGGUUGUCUCAAAUGCCUCUCAUUUAAUUGGGACAGCCUCUUAUACUUUUACUUCUCCCGAGGAGUCCCGAUAAAGCAGCACCAGCUGUAUUUAUGUCGGCUUGUCUUCACUCAGGUCCACCAGGACUGUAUUUGGGUAGUGUGGUGACCUGGUGGUGUGGUCUUGUCACAAGUGCCUAUAAUUAGUUGGGGUUGUGCACAUUAUGUUUUGCUUUUGUAUUUAUUAUAUUGAUUUGGUUUCAUUUGCACUUGCUAUGUUUCACACUUUAUUUUAUUUACUACCCAAAAUGAGGCACUUUUGUUGCUUAUUUUGUAUUGCUGUGUUUAAGUUAUUUAUUGUUAAGUUUGUGUUAUUAUUUGUAAUACAGCUCAGGUAAAUAGAAUGAGAAAAUAGUCCAAUCCCCCAAAGUCUAAAUGCAGCCAGGUGUUAUCCAUUUGCACCAAUUAACUAUCAUUGACAGUCCAUUAUGAAAAGGGAACUAAAAGUACAAAAAGGAGCGUGUGGUUCCAGGAGGAAUCAAACUGAGGACACAGGAAGUUGGCCAUCUUGAGAGAGACAGACCUGCAUGGUAACAACAAGGAUUAUUUGGAACUCUAAAGGGAAUACAGAAGGAUAAAGACACAGCAGCCUGAUGGAAGGAAGGACCGGUCAGAAACUGAGAGCAAAGCCGAGUAUUAAUUCUUGAAUUAUGAUGUUGAAUAGUGAUGGGAAAAGUGAAACCACUGAACCCUCUGAAUCAUUUGGUUCGCAAAAAGAUUCACUGAGCUGAAGCACAUGAAGCGCUUCAUGCUUUUUAGUGCCAUCUCUUGGUAGAUCUGCACAACUCAAUACAUUGAGAGUAAAGACAGCCUCCUGUCUCCAGAGAGAAGGCUUUUAUUAGAGGACAAUUGCACUGAUGCUCAGAGAAGGCAAUGUGUUAUAGAGUGACAUUUCAUACACUUUUGACAUGCAAUAUCAAAGCAAUUUCAUUUUUCAUUUUCUUGGUUAAUUGGGCAUCUAUAAAUUAAACAAUCGUUUCAGAAUAAAGGAAUAUUUCAGUGCUUUUUCUAAAGACAGAGCUUGGCUGUUGCUUUUAUCGAAAUUGCCUGGAAUAUUUAUUUUACAUAUCAACCACACAUGCGAUUAACCAAUAAAACCUUCUUAAAUAAUCAUACUAGAUAUAUAAAACCAAGCUCUUGUUGCUUGAAAUAAGAGACAGCGUAAUUUGAUGACUUCAGCAACCAUAGCGUGUAAGAUGGUGGAAUAAGUAGGAUAUUUUGAUUCAUGCUUUACAAGCAGAUUCUUCAGUGGUGCGUGUAGUAUAGCUCCAGGGCAGCAGUGUGGAGUAGUGGUUAGGGCUCUGGACUCUUGACCGGAGGGUUGUGGGUUCAAUCCCCAGUGGGGGACACUGCUGUUGUACCCUUGAGCAAGGUACUUUACCUAGAUUGCUCCAGUAAAAACCCAACUGUAUAAAUGGGUAUUUGUAUGUAAAAUAAUGUGAUAUCUGUAUAAUGUGAAAUAAUGUUAAAGUUGUAAGUCGCCCUGGAUAAGGGUGUCUGCUAAGAAAUAAAUAAUAAUAAUAUAGCUAUAGAGAGGUAGAAAAUAGUAGUUCGAAUCCCUGCCGUUUCCAUUUUUAAAGAAAUUGUGUACUCUGUAUCCUUUAUACACUUAUAAUAGAUCACGUUUGUUUUUUGUUUUUUUUUACCAAUAAUAGUUCUGUUUGUACAUACUUAAUGCUUUUGUUUGUUGUUAUUUAAAAAAAAAAAAAAAAAAGUUCUUUUCAGCUUGACUGAAACACCACACUGUGAGCACUGCUGACAAAAAGAGUACGUAUUGGGUACAAAAAAAAUAGUUUCCUUCCUAUCAGCUCCUGCUAAACGCUGUUUAUGGGUCACAUGACCUAGUGGUUCAAUGAACCACAUGAAGCUUUGCUUCGUAACACUGUUUGCUUCAAUUGGUUCAUGUGGGGUCGAAUCAGCUGAGGCUUCAGUCCCAUCAUUACUGUUGAAGCAGCGUUUUUUGAUUAAAAUAAGACUAUUAAUAUCACGCAGAGGACUGUGUGGCGUUUGACAAUUGAUUCAGAAGUAAUGACACUUGGCGGAAACAUUUAUAGUUCCCGUUAUUAAUUGUGGUUUAUGACAUGUUGUUGUACUGCUUCCCUUCAAGGAACCCCCCUCCAUGACUGACGCUUUGGAGGAGCAAACCGGCACCAACUGAGGGAUGGACUGCCAGCUCUCUCACACCGAGACAGGAAGUCCUACCCUACUUAAGUAUCAGUGGCUGGGUCGGAAGACCAAAUAAGAGUAGGGAGGGCUGAGAUGGGGGGUGUAGGUAGUGAAUGACCAGGGACACAGAGGGAGUGUGGACAUCAAGUGCUCUUUGUUCUUCCACUGCAGGAUCCUGUGUCGUGGUGCUGGAGAGGGGGGAGCGACAAACAAAUGGAUAAGGAGGUUCUUGGGUCGGUCACCUUCAGCUUUACCUUUCCUUGUUGGUGUUUCUACCGGGACAGUGUUUGGCAACUUGGACUAAGUACAGGACCUACAAACAAAAGAGUUUUCUAGGACUUUUGAGGCCCAGGUGAAUAUACUGGAACUAUCUUUUCACCAAACUGCUGCUUAUAUUGUUCGGGACUGUGUUGUAGUAAUAUAGUGUGUGGAGUUGAAUAAUUGUACAAAUAAUAUCCCCCUGAAGUCACAAGUAGCCUAUUAACAAUGGAAGGUUUUAGGUGUUUUUAGAAUAGGUUUUACAUUUAAAUAUCGUGCAUGGUGGAUUGAAA